UGUAAUCUUAAUAAUCGAUUAAUCUGUGAGAACAAAUAAAUGAAAAUGCAUAAAUUGGCGUUUUCGUUGAACAUUGUGGAGGAAAAAUAGCUACCUGUUAUGAAUAAAGAUGGAUGCCCAUUAUAAGGCCAUCAUCGAAGUCCAUCAUCUAGAUGUUUCUAGGGUUUUACCCUUUCCUUGUACUCCUAUAUAAAGAACCCUUUAUCUCAAUGGAAUAACACACUCAUUUCCUCUAUCUCUUUCUCUGUUUAUAACACGUUAUCAGCACGCUCUAAAAGGUAGAUAUAGAGAUUCUUACAUCUUUUUAAGAACCAUGUUUACUUAUCGACUCAUGGUUCAUAGUACUUAUUUUCUAUUAUUGAAACAAAACAAUAUGAGCCGAUCGAUGAUUAUAGUAUAGAUCGGUAAAAGCAUGUUUUCAAUGAUUCAAUAAAGAAGAGAAUCAUGCUUAUCAUUUGUUUCUAUAAUUACUAUCGCAUGAUUUAAUGAUUCUACAAAGAAAAUCGUUAAAGAAGAGAAUCAUGCUUGUUAAUUGUUAAUUUUUGUGAUUUACUAUUACAAUAUUGAAUAUAUAAAUUACCAAUUUUAUAAUUAUAUAACUAAUUUUGUAACUAUUCAUAGCCCGGUGGUGGGUGAUGCAAGCAUGUAUUAAUGUUUUAGCAUUCCAGUUUUGAAUAGUUGCAUCUAUAUUCAAUAUCAUUUUAUAAAUAUUAUAUUGUCUAAAAUCUAUUUAUGAUUGAUAUGAUAUCCCUUAUUUAACUCCUUUGAUUAAAACUUUAUACAUAUCUUAUCACUUUUAGAUAUUGACUUUUCCAUAUUAAAUAUUUGAUUUCCAUAUAUUUGAUUGUAU
rnacentral:sRNA from 1 species